rnacentral:rRNA from 1 species
UGAACGCUGGCGGCGUGCUUAACACAUGCAAGUCGAACGAGAACGGUCCUUCGGGAUGUCAGCUAAGUGGCGGACGGGUGAGUAAUGUAUAGUUAAUCUGCCCUUUAGAGGGGGAUAACAGUUGGAAACGACUGCUAAUACCCCAUACUCCUUUUACCUUAAUGGUAAAUGGGAAACGUUUUUUCGCUAAAGGAUGAGACUAUAUGGUAUCAGGUAGUUGGUGGGGUAAGAGCCUACCAAGCCAAUGACGCCUAGCUGGUCUGAGAGGAUGAUCAGCCACACUGGAACUGAGACACGGUCCAGAAUCCUACGGGAGGCAGCAGUGGGGAAUAUUGCACAAUGGAGGAAACUCUGAUGCAGCAACGCCGCGUGGAGGAUGACGCAUUUCGGUGUGUAAACUCCUUUUAUAUGGGAAGAUAAUGACGGUACCAUAUGAAUAAGCACCGGCUAACUCC